AUGCUCCGCCUACGGUGCUCCAUCCUCACCCACCUCCUCUCAUCUCGUCCACCCACCUCCCCCGUAUCCCCUCUCCACCGCCUCCUCUCUGCGGCCGUCUCCCCCAACCCUGCCUCCGCCUUCGCCGUCGACGACUACCUCGUCCGUACCUGCGGCCUCACCCGAGCACAGGCCCUCAAGGCCUCCGCCAAGCUCUCCCACCUCAAGUCCCCUUCCAAGCCCGACGCCGUCCUCGCCUUCCUCGCCGGCCUCGGCCUCUCCGCCGCCGAUGUCGCUGCCGUGGUUGCCAAGGACCCGCAGCUCCUCUGCGCCAAAGUGGAGGAAACCCUGGUCCCCAAUGUCGCGGAGCUCACCGGCCUGGAUCUCUCGCCUUCUGAGAUCGCACGCCUCCUCUCGCUUGGCCCCGACAGAUUCCGUUGUAGAUCCAUCGUCUCCAAGCUGCAGUACUGCUUGCCCCUCUUCGGCUCCUCCGAGAACCUCUUUCGAGCCCUCAAGAGUGGCUCCGUUCUCUCCUCCGACCACGAGCGGGUGGUCAAGCCCAAUGUCGCCUUCCUGCGGGAGUGCGGGCUAGGUGCUUGUGAUAUUGUCAAGCUCUACGUACUUACACCAUCGCCGCUCAACAUCAGCACGGAACGCCUCCGGACAGCAGUGGCAUGUGUUGAAGGUCUUGGUGUAUCCCGCCAAAGGAUCGCGCGCCUCAUCUUCCUCACCGGUGUCACUUUCCGCUGCAGAUCCAUCGUAUCCACGCUGGAGUACUUCUUGCCCCUCUUCGGGUCCUACGACAACCUCCUUCCAGCCCUCAAGGGUGGCUCUGUUCUCUCGUCCAACCUCGAGCGGGUGGUCAAGCCCAAUGUCGCCUUCCUGCGCAAGUGCGGACUAGGUGCUUGUGAUAUUGCCAGGCUCUGCAUACCUACGCCAUCGCUGCUCAGCAUCAGCCCGGAACGCAUCCGGACAUCAGUCGCGUGCGUCGAAGGUCUUCUUGGUGUACCCCGUGGAUCUCCAAUGUUCAGACAUACGUUACAAGCUGUUGCAUUCCUCAGCGAGGAGAAAAUCACCACCAAAGUGGAGCACUUGAAGAAAACGUUCAAGUGGUCGGAUGCUGAGGUGGGCAUUGCUGUUUCUAAGGCUCCAACAGUGCUACAUAGGACUAAGGAAUCGCUGCAGCGCAGGUCCGAGUUCCUCAUCUCCGAGGUGGGGUUGGAACCGGCAUAUAUUGCUUGUUGUCCGGUAUUACUCAUGUACAGCUUGGAGGGCCGGCUCAGACCCCGAUACUACGUCGUUAGAUUUCUCAAGGUAAAUGGAUUGCUAGAUCACGACCGGGACUACUAUGCUGCAGUCAUGAUCAGCGAGAAGGUAUUCGUCGAGAAGUUCAUAUGCCCUCAUAAGGAUGCUGCACCGCAUCUCGCUGAAGAUUAUGCAACAGCUUGCAGAGGGGAGGUUCCAGCUAGAUUCAGUUUUACAUGA
rnacentral:rRNA from 1 species